rnacentral:lncRNA from 1 species
CUGGUACAUGUAGUUACAAUGCAGAUUGCAAUCUCUUAGUUUCAUCCCCUUUAUUUCAAGCAAUAAGAUGAUUCGCGCACAUAUUUUUUAACUCUUAAUCUUUCAGAUUCUUAAGAAUUUGUUUAUUAAAUCUUAUAUUGACCACAUACAAUGUUUAAAUAGGAAGAAAUGCUUAAAAGCUGUUUUUUCGCAAAAGGCGGUAUUUUGGGCAACUGUAUGAGUUGUUAUGAUUUGCUGUAUGACUAGAAGUAAGCAUAAUUUUAGGAAAUUUUAUGAUGUCAAAAACUUCUUUGAUAGUCAUUACAUGGUUUUACUUAGUUUUAAGUGAUUAGCAUUUGCACCAGAAAGAAAAAUUUGGGUUUUCACACAUUUUGUGAACUUUUACUCGAAUUUCAGAAACCAUGUGCUCU